UACAGAGGGGGCAAGCGUUGUUCGGAAUUACUGGGCGUAAAGGGCGCGUAGGCGGCCUUGUAAGUCGAACGUGAAAUCCCCGGGCUCAACCCGGGAACUGCGUCCGAUACUGGGAGGCUUGAAUCCGGGAGAGGGAUGUGGAAUUCCAGGUGUAGCGGUGAAAUGCGUAGAUAUCUGGAGGAACACCGGUGGCGAAGGCGGCAUCCUGGACCGGUAUUGACGCUGAGGCGCGAAAGCUAGGGGAGCAAACGGG
rnacentral:rRNA from 1 species